GAAAGAUGCUUGGCCUAGAAACAAGGCCUCAGUCAUACACUGUAUUAUGUUCCCAAGAAUGGAAAAUAGUCCCCGAAGAGUUGAGGAGAUGGUUUGUGGUUUCUGGAGGAGGAAAUUUGAUGCAGAGUUAAUGUCAUGCAAAGAAUGGACCGUGAGUCUACGAGACCUUGGUUUGAAUCACAGCUCAGCUAUGUACUCCCCAGGUAACAUCUCCAGCACAGAGAGAGGGAGGAGGAGACAGGGAAGGAAAGAUGAAGAUAUGGAAGGCACAGAUAUCUCAUCCCUGAGAUUGCCCCAGUUCAUGUGUCCAUGCACAUACACCUGGUAGGAAGAGGAGGGAAAGGGACUCUAUAGCUAUCCUUCCACAUGCAAAUACUGCAGCUGCAUAGAGAGAAAGAUCAUGUCCUGAGUAUUAGCAUGAUUAAUUUUCUAAUAUGUAUUGACUUUUUCCCUCUCUUUGAGAAAUCCUGUCUUUUUCAAGUGUUUUUGAAGAGAGCUCAAAAAAUAAAUAAAUCUAGAAUGGGUUUUUGAAAGUAAAUUCUUACUUAACUGUUAUUCAAGAAGAACAUUAUAUUGACAUUAGUGUGCAGGUUUCUUUUUUCUUUUCUUUUUCUUUCCUUUAAAAAAAAACAACACAAAAUAAUAAUCCCACCCACACUCCCAAAAAGAUAGCGAGUAACAUCAUGACCAUAUAGCACUAGUGAAUGAUUAAAAAUUUAGAUGGCUGCCUUUGAAACAAUAAAAAAGCUUUGGAAGCUCCUUAAUGAGCAGCUAUCAGAAAUAAAGCAUUUAAAACUUCAGAAA